GUAUUUUCAGUAGAGACGGGGUUUCACCGCGUUAGCCAGGAUGGUCUCAAUCUCCUGACCUCCUGAUCCGCCCACCUCACCCUCCCAAAGUGCUGGGAUUACAGGCGUGAGCCACCGCGCCUCUUAAAUAAUUCUUAAUUAACUUCAGGAUUUUGCAGGAUACCAUGGUGCAUUGGUCUGUUCUUGCAUUGCCAUAAAGAAAUACCUGAAAAUGGGUAAUUUAUAAAGAAAAGAGGUUUAUUGGCUCAUGGUUCUACAGGCUGUACAGGAAGUGUAGUGGCUUCCAUUUCUGGAGAGGCCUCAGGAAACUAUGAAUCAUGGCUAAAGGCAAAGGGGAAGCAAGCACAUCUUACAUGGCUGGAGAAGGAGCAAGAGCAAGAGAACGAGACAGUGAGAGAGACAGAGAGAGAGAGAGAGAGGAGGUGCUACAUUUUCUUUUUGAGACAGGUCUCUGUCACCCAGGCUGGUGUGCAGUGACACAGUCUUGGCUCACUGCAGCCUCCACUUCCCGGGCUCAGGCAAUUCUCCAACCUCAGCCUCCUGAGUAGCUGGGACUACAGGAGUGAGCCACUAUGCCCAGUUAAUUUUUGUAGUUUUUGUAGGGAUGAGGUUUCACCAUAUUGCCUAGGCUGGUCUUGAACUCCUGAGCUCAAAGCAAUCCGCCCGCCUCAGCCUCCCAAAGUGUAUACACACUUUUAAACAACCGGAUCUCACAAUAACUCACUAUCAAGAGAACAGCACCAAGGGAAUGGUGCUAAACCAUUCAUGAAGGACCGCCUCCAUUAUAUGAUCUAAUCACCGACUACCAGGCCCAUGACCAACACUGAAGAUUACAAUUUGACAUGAGAUUUGGUGGGGACACAGAUCCAAACUAUAUCACACUGUGACUGGUAUUGUUUUAAAAAAAUUAUCAGGACCAUUUUGAAAUUUGGGUAAGGCUGCCCGAAGAAAAAUUUGCAAAUCCGUUUUAGAGGAUACAAACAUCAUGAUUUUAUAUUACAAAUGUGAACAAAAGUUCCCUGGAAGAAAGAGACUUUAUUCCAGUGAAUAGUUUGCAAACUAGGGAGUCCAACACAGCCUUCAAUGUAAAAGGAAGGUGCGGUCCAAAGAACAAAGGAAGGGUUCUAGCUUUAUAGCAAAAGUUCCUGCCCUGGUUCCCAAUCAGGUGCACUGAUACAAAUGAGAUGGAAACACAGUUCUGAUUGGUUGAUACAACUGAGCAGCAAGGGAGGUGGGCUCUGAUUGGCUGGUUCAGGUGAGCUCUGAAAGUUCCAAAGUUAAAGAGGUGUGGGUUUUCAGGGAACUCAAAAUAGGUGUGUGGCCUCUAGUCACCAAAUGGCUUCUUGGCUCUGCUUUAAAUUUAGGCCCACUCAGCCACUUAAGAUCCAUCUUGAAGGACUGGCUCUUUCAGGGUCACAUUUGUUCAUGCAAACUAUUGAUAUUGCAUGCUAUUUACCACUAUUUCAGAUGAAAUUGCCACAGGAUAUAAAUCAUUGGACUAUUUAAGAGCUUUGUAUAUAGUCUUUUUUUUCAUAAACCUUUUUCUACUAUAUUUAGUUCAAAAUGCCAUGCCACAUAGACAAGUUACAUGAAAAUUUGUAAUCUGUUCACACAAAGAUGGUUCCUAUUUCAGGAUAUUGUAUUUUGUCAUUUUAUGUUCUUUUAAUAUUUGACAAACAUCUUUGUGUAAAGUACCUUGAUCAUAUUUGACUUUGAUGCCUCUCAGGAUUUGUUUUUAAUGUAGUUUUUAGAACAAGCAUAACAUUCCACUGCUCAAUGAAUUCAUAAAAGAUUAUGUAUCAUUUGUACACACUAAAAAGGUUAUAUUUUAAUUCAUAGAAGCAGCAUUUUUGCACAGAUUAUGAACUUAUUUGGCAUAACCAUUUUGGGGGAAAAUAAUGGCUUUUCCACCCUUAUAUACACACCUGCUGUAUUUGUCCAAUUAUAUCCAUGGCCUCAAAGAUAUUUUAUGUCAAUAUCUUUUUUCAAUUUAUUAAUAAUUUCAUAAGAGCCUAUAUCUCUUUUCUCAAAAUAAAAAACUUCUAGUGUUAUGACAUUAUUCUUAUGCAAACAUACUUAAUAAUCAGAUACAUUUGUUCAUGAUGGGCUAUAUCUGAUGUACAAAGAGUAAGGAAAAGUAUUUUGCUUUAGUCUCAAUAGUAUAUCAGAUCUAACAUGAUUUCCUAGUAGUUUUAUGUGUUCUCCCAAAAUUCAUAUGCUAAAGUCCUAACCCAAUAUGUGACUGUAUUUGGCAACAGGGCAUUAAAGACAUAAUUAAAGUAAAAUGAGUUCAUAUGUGCAGGCUUUAAUCCGAUAUGACAUAGACAACACAUAGACCAAGAGGUGACAUAGACAACACACAGACCAAGCCAGGCAGUGAGGCCUCAGAAGAAACACAACCUGUUGACACCUUGAUCCUAGACUUCUAGCCUCUGGAACAGUAAGAAAACAAAUUCCUUUUGUUUGAUCCACCCAGUGUGUGGUAUUUUGUUAUUGUAGCCCUAUCAAAUUAUAUACAUUAUAAAUUCAUUUUGAAUUCUAUUAGACAAAUAAGACACAAAUUCCUUUUUAUGAUUAGCUACAUCAACAUUAUAGUGACUAAUUCAACGAAAUUAAGAAACAUAACAUUUGUGUUUUUCACUUUUAGAAGCAACUUACUAUGGCUACUAAAAUAAUGUCCAAAGCAUAACUGACCGGCAGUUGGGAGACAAAAGGGUAUAUGAUACUUAAUUCUAUGUGUCAACUUGGCUAGACAAUAGUGAUCAUUUGUUUGGUAAAAUUCUAGUUUAGAUCUUCAUCUCACCAUCUUAGUUUUAACCAAACAAAAAAAUUUAUGUUGCCAGGCAAACAAGAGAGGACUAUACAAAAUAUAACUAUCAAAAAAUGGCAAAGGCAGGGGGAGGUACCAUGGGAGAUAGUGAAUAUAAACUAAAUGAUCAUCUCUCAAAUUUCUGAAGUGGAAAAAUCAAGGAACAGCAUUUUAUAAGCAUUUAAUAGGCAGAAAAAUUUAAAAUAAUUUGAAAAGGUUCCUCUAGGAAGGGGGACUAGGAGUUGGCAGUAAGGUGGGACAGCAACUAUUUAGGGUAAUUUCCUUUGUCCCUUAUUUUUUAAGCCACGUGCAUGUAUUUUAAACUAGGAUAGCACAGUAAACAAAUUCCUGCUCAUACUUCAAGACCCAGCUCCAACGGUGCCUACUGUAGUGCCAACUUCUUGGUUAAAGUAGACCUUCACUCUACUGUGCUCCUCAAGCACAUUCUCUGUUACCAGACUUCUCACAUUUCACACACCUAUUUAUGAGUCCCUUCCAUUGCUCAGAAUUCUUUAAAGAUAAAGACAGUCUUUAUGUUUCCCCAUCAAAUCUUUAAUAACUGUUAAAUGCAUGAAAAUAUAAAUUUUGUUUUAGAGCAAAGGCUUUUGGAAGCUGCCACAGUUUCAUUCCCAGGUCCUCCACUUACCAGCAAUGAGACUUCAUGUGACCUCAGGUAUAUUACCUAACCUUUCUGACGUUCUGCUUCUUAUGUAUUCGUUCUGAAGAGUUGCUGAAUGCAGUAAUAGACUGUAACAUCCCUAGCACAGUACCAAAUGCAUAAUGAAACGCUCAAUAACUCUUUACUGCCCUAGUGAACAUAUUAAUGCCAAGCUCAAUUAAUAAGGAUUGCUGAAAGCAGUGCCCUGGCUCUAAGACAGAAGUUAUCUCAUGCUUGUUCCCAGGACCAUGCUGGGAUUGAUAGGCAGACAUCAACAUAUAAUAAGAUUCUUUAACGGCUGAUUCCAUGCUUAAUGUCAGAAAUGCUCAAGAUGAGUGUGAAGCGUCUUGUUAUACUAGGUAACAAAAGAAGAUAUGAAAGAUAAGGUUUUCUGUAUCAGUAUAGGAAAAAUGAUUUUUUAAAAAAUGAAUAGGCCACUUCUACUUCCAAGAUAGAGUAGCUUAUGGUAGACCAAUUUUCAUUCCUAGAAUAAAGCUGAAUAAAAUCUCUUAAAAUUGUUGGAAGACAUCAGUCAAUUGCUGAAGCAAAAAGAGUUUGAGCAUCAAGAUCCUGAAGAAGGAUAAAUCUUGUGGGUGAGCCAAAAGUCUGUAGUCUCUUUUAUCCUUAAACAAUUUACUGGCCGGGCGUGGUGGCUCAUGCCUAUAAUCCCAGCACUUUGGGAGGCCGAGGCGGACAGAUCACGAGGUCAGGAGAUUGAGACCAUCCUGACUAACACAGUGAACCCCCAUCUCUACUAAAAAAUACAAAAAAUUAGCCGGGCGUGGUGGUGGGCACCUGUAGUCCCGGCUACUCGGGAGGCUGAGGCAGGAGAAUGGCGUGAACCCGGGAGGCGGAGCUUGCAGUGAGCCGAGAUUGCACCACUGUACUCCAACCUGGGUGACAGAGCCAGACUCCACCUCAAAAUAAUAAUAAUAAUAAUAAUAAUAAUAAUUAUUAUUAUUAUUAUUAUUAUUUACUGAUUGUAGCCAUGGGGUAAGAAUGAGGAUCCAGAGCAAUGGGCAACUACUAAGAGGCAGAGAAACCAAAAUAAUUUUUGACAGUGUCAAGGGGCAUUGAAAAACCAAAAUUAGCCAGUAGUUUCUCAGAAUAUUGAAUAAGAGGGAGGAGUGGAGAACUUGGCCACUCAGCCUGUUUACCCACUGAGGCAUUUUCUGAAUUCUGACGCUGUGCAGAAUGCAAGGCUAAGAAGGUAAGCAAAAAAUAUCUGCUUAGAUUCAAAAAUUCAAAUUCUUUGAAAAGGAGGAUAAAUUUUUUGGGCUGAGUCUGGUACUGAGAAGACAAGAAUUAGAGUUGAGGAACUGCCAGUGGAAACAGAUCCAGUGAACACACUAGGCUCUCAAUUAGAAAAUCCUGGAGGACUACAUCCUAUAAGGGGGGAAAUAAGGGUAAACCAGAGAUAGAGUCUUAAGAAAACUACCACCCAGUCUUAAUUUUAAGUCAGCUCAGAUCCUUACUGGAUUAAGGUGAUUGAUCCCCACUCUGCAUAGUAGAGGAAAGGGUGAGCCCUUUGUGCAGGAGGUUAUCCAUCCAGAGGCUCUACAAUUUGUCAUACACAUUCAAUCAAAAAUUGCCAGGCAUAUCAACAGAGUGGACCAAAUGACCAGAAACUAAGGAGGGAAAAAGACAAUAGAAAGAGAGCCAUAGAAAAUCGAAAUCAUGGCGUUAUCGGACAAAAAAAUUCACAUAACUGAUUUAUCAGUCCGAGAAAAACACAGAGAAAACAGAAGACAGAUUCUCCAGAGAGUUAAAAUCCAUUAAAAGGACAUGAAUGGGCCAACCGUGGUGGCUCACGCCUGUAAUCCCAACAUUUUGGGAGGCUGAGGCAGGUGGAUCACUUGAGGUCAGGAGUUUGCGACCAGCCUGGCCAACAUGACAAAACCCCAUCUCUACUAAAAAUACAAAAAUUAGCUGGGUGUGGUGGUGCGUGCCUCUAAUCCCAACUACUUGGGAGGCUGAGGUGGGAAAAUUGCUUUAAUCUGGGAGACAGAGGGUGCAGUGAGCUGAGAUCCCGCCACUGCACUCGAGCCUGGGUGACAGAGAAAGACUCCGUCUCAAGGAAAAAAAAAAAAAAAAAAGACAUGAAUGGAUAUUUUAGAACUGAGAAAUAUAAGAAAAAUGAAAUUAAGAACUCAGUAGAUGGGUUUAGCAGCAAAAGUAAUAAAUGAAUUGCAAGACAGAUCAGUAUAAAAUAUCUAGUCUGAAACACAAAGAAAAAAGCAUGAGAGACACAAGAACUGGAGAUAUAUAGAGCACUAUGAAAAGUUCUAACAUUCAGAUUACUGAAGUCUCAGAGCAGAUAGAGAAAAAAUGGGACAGAAACAAUAGUUGAAGAUAUAAUGUCUGAGAAAUUUCCAAAAUUGAUCAGACAUCAACCCAGAAAUUCAAGAAGCUAAAUGCCAAGCAAGAAAAGAAAAAGAAACCCAUACUAAGUACACCAUAGUAAAACUACUGAAAACCAAAAAGAAAAAAAUCUUUAAAGCAGCCAGGUGAAGGCAAAAUCACCUUCAAAGGAACAACAAAGGACCAGAUAGCGACUUUUCAACAGAAAUGGUAUAAGCCAGAAAACAAAGAAUUACAUCUUUAAAGUCCUUAAACAGACUCCUGUAUGCACUUGAUAGAAGACAGAAUUAGUGAACUUUGUACAAAACAGCUAUAAAGUUCUCCCCAAAUAUAGCAUAUAUAUAAAAAUAUGAAAGACAGAUUAAGAGAUAAUAUCAUGAUAUGAUCCAACUUACAUUUAAUCAGUUACAGAAGAAACAGACAAUGCUGAAAGAAAAAAUCAUUUAAUUUUCCACAAUUGAUUAAGGAUACCAUUGUACAAAUUCAAGAAUCCAAAAAAGUCUCAAACAGGAAAAGAAAAAACCUACAAACAAACCACCUAGUGUGCCAGUCACGUUUCUAUUCUCAGCUGCAAGCUCAUCCUUGUAGUCUCUACUGUUCUACUGUAGCUGCCACUCUGUAAACUACAUUUCCCAGAUUCCCUUAUCAGCUGGCUUCCUGUUAGGGUCUACCAAUGGAAGCCACUAGAGGGAGAUUAGACGGCAGUAGAUAGCAAUUGCCCUAGACCCAGUGGUUUUUUGCAUGAGACAAUUUUAUAUAUUAAGCCCCUGAGAUUUAAGGAUUAUUACUACAGAAAAAGCCCAUCCUAUCCUAAUAAAAUAUGCAAAAAAUUAAAAGUAGAACUUUACACUUCAUACCACGUAUAAAGAUAAACCUAAAUGACAAAGACUAUAUAGCUUUCAGAAGAGAACACAGGAAACAUCCUCAUGAUCUUGGGGUAUAGAAGGAUUUCUCAAAUAAGACAUAAAAAACAUAAAUCAAAAAGAAAAAGCUUGAUAGAUUUGACAUAAAAAUUAAAAGCUCCUGUUUAUCAAAAGACAGAACUAAAAUAGUGAAAAGACAAGCCACAGAAGAUAUUUGCAAAAUAUAUAACAAAGAACUUGUGUACAUAUUUUAAAAUUUGUAUGAAUAAGAACACUUGAAGAAACCUAAUAACUAAUAAACAUGAAAAGUUGUUCAACAUUAUCAGUAAUGUUCAAAUAGACACUAUACAUGUACUGUCUUAGGUAGAGCUGCUAUAAUAAAAUACCAUACAUUGAAUUAAAAACAUUUAUUUCUCAUGGUUAUGGGAACUGGAAAGUCCGAGAUCAAGAUGCUAGUAGGUUUGUUUCUGGUAAGGGCCCCCUGGUUCAUAGACAGGCAUCUUCUUGCUGUGUGUUCGCAUGGCAGAAAGAGGGCUGGGAUCUCUUCAUAAGGGCACUAAUCCCACUCACGUGGGCUCCAUGCUUACGACCUCCCAAGGGCUCCGCAUCCUAAUAUCAUCACAUUGGGGGUUAAGAUUUCAACAUAUGGGCCGGGCGCGGUGGCUCACGCCUGUAAUCCCAGCACUUUGGGAGGCCGAGGCGGGCGGAUCACGAG
rnacentral:lncRNA from 10 species